ACUCGCAGCAGCGCACCCCUCCUCUUGCUGACGCCCCAGGGCCCGGGAGAGACCGGCGACGGGGAGCGCAGGCGACGCCCGGCGCCGGGAUGCUCCAGCGUGCCUCCGGGUGCGCGGGGUGCGCAGGGGGGCCCCGGCGCCCUGCGCGGUCAGCGGUGGUGGGCAGGGGUGCCUGGCGUGCUCCGGUCGCCCGGCGCCCGCGCUACCUCGGGGAGACCUCUGCCGCCGCCCGAGCGCGCAUCCCGGCCCGGGGGCGCUCCCUGCCGGCCGCCGCGCGCACCAGCCAGGCUGAGCCCCGGCAGCAGAGCUGCGGGCGCCUCUGUCCCCCCACCCCCAGGGCGGGCCAGGCCUCCGGUGCUGCGGCUCCAUCACCCACGCCCUCGGGGCUGAGCUGCCUCACUGCGCAGGCGCGGAGGUGCGCACCUGCUCCUUUGAGACGCUCACCUGUCCUUGUUCUUACCGGCAGGAGGGGCUGGAAGGUCUAGGACCCUUAACCAGGCUGGAGAGCUUCUAGAGGCGCAGAAAGAAGCUCAGAGUCCCAGUGGAGGCAGCUGCAGGAGUUUGCUGGAAACAUCUGGAAGGAUAUCUGGUGUGAUGGGGAGGGACAGGCCCGCCAUAAAACAUAUCCACCCCGCCGGGGCUCCUCCGAGCCAGACAAAUCGCCCACGCUCUGGGGGAUGAUAACUCUGCCACCAAUCUUCCCUCCUGUCAGCACAAAACUGUUCAAUCAACAGGAGUGUGAGCUGUGUCUUUUGUGAAAUUAGCACAGGAGGAAAUACAACCUGGGCUGGGGACUGGGGCCGUGGGUGCAGGAAGGGGCCAAACCACUGUGGGCGAUGACCUUGAACACACGCCUUGCCUGCCGGCUUCUCGGCCUGAGUCUGGGUCUUAGGAGGGCACAUCCGUGAGACGGCAAGCA
ensembl:lncRNA